GUUUAACCCGCCCCUAAGUAUUUUAAUGUUAUUGCCAAAAUAUUUAUCUGCCCCCCGCACCUCAUUUCUUCUGCCAUAAUCAUUUCCUAAAUAUCAUAAGCUUAUUUUCUCUACCUUCACCCUCAAACCUUCUCUCUCUGCCUUCGUCCUCAAACCCUAUUUUCUCGCUCAUUGCCUUCGUUUCCUCGCUCCCCUAAAACUUCACGAGAAUCAUUUUCCCCCAAAUUUCCUGCACCAUCUUCGUGUUGUUCUUCCUUGUUUGGGCUGAGAAUUUUGUUCGUCGUCGAGGCUUCGAGGCAUCGUGGUGCUUUCUUAGCAUUUGUGCAUCAAUUGUUUCAGUGCUAUUAGAUCCCUUUCUCACAGCUUCCAUUUGCAAUUCAGGUUCUCUUUGAUCGGGCUUUUCUUGCUCCUUAGAUUCCCAAUUCUAGUCACGUCUUGCUAGAUCAGAGGGGAAUUUCGGAAAAUAUUCCAAUUUCGCGUUUGGUUUCGGCUUUCUCAACUCAGAUGCGGGGUUCGGUGAGUCUUAGGGAUGAAUUAACUGAAUCACCUCGUUUCUAGCUAGGCGAGGAUUUGGACUUAGAAAAUUUGUCAGCGAAAUCUGGUGCAAUAGGGGCUAAGGUUUGUUGUCCUUUGUUGGUCAUCAUGGUGCAUGCACCCUCCACAGAGGGCAAAGCAGUGGCACCUCCUUAUAGCUGUUGAUUAGCCUGUCUGCUUUCUGGUAAAUGGAUAGGAUUAUCUUGUUAUUUUAUCAUUUUUUCCCUCAAUAAUAUGUCCUUUCCAAUACUUUCAUCAUUCAAUCAUUGUUUAGAGAAUUUCCGUAUUCAUUUUGCUCUCUAUGUGCUGACCAAGGUAACUUGUUUUGCUAACAAUACAUCGAUGCUUUGUUCGGUGCCAAGUUUUAUUGUCUGAACUGUUUUUUUUUUUUUGUCUA